rnacentral:rRNA from 1 species
AGGAUUUUUCUCAAUGGGGGAAACCCUGAAGGAGCGACGCCGCGUGGGGGAUGAAGGUCUUCGGAUUGUAAACCCCUGUCAUCUGGGAACAAAGCGCUCCACCUAACACGUGGAUUGUUGAUCGUACCGGAAGAGGAAGCCGUGGCUAACUCUGUGCCAGCAGCCGCGGUAAUCCAGAGACGGCAAGCGUUGUUCGGAUUCAUUGGGCGUAAAGGGUGCGUAGGCGGUCAGCUAAGUCGGGUGUGAAAGCUCACAGCCCAACUGUGAUAGGUCAUUCGAAACUAGCUGGCUCGAGGACUGGAGAGGAGACUGAAAUGGUCGGUGUAGCGGUGAAAUGCGUAGAGAUCGACCAGAACACCAGUGGCGAAGGCGGGUCUCUGGACAGUUCCUGACGCUGAGGCACGAAAUCCAGGGGAGCAAAC